AUAAAUGAACAGCGACAGACACAAGCAAGCCUCAGUCUGAAUUGCCCCUUCCCCCCCUUCCCCGACCCUGGGGGCUUUGGAGCAGUAUUUCUCGGGGUCGGAAUAUCCCCUCUUGGCAUGCGAUGGGCCCACUCUGCCCUGAGCCCUGGCCUUCCAGCUUCUGGGACGUAAGGGUCAGGAGAGGUGAGCCAUUCGGACACUUUACCCCCAGCAUCUGCCGGGAGUUGACUACAACGACCUUGGGUUCAUUCUAGCACCUCCUAUGAAUUUAACGGGCAUUUUGGUGGCAGUGAGAGAUGUCGCACUUGCAGGAAGGCUGCGGUAAGCUACAGUUCUUCCCGGAGACGCCGGCUGCCAUCUGCAGGUGCCCUUUACUGGCAGACACUUUGCUACCAGACAUUGGACUCAUCAAGAUGCCACAGUAAGCGAUGCCUACAGCCACUUUGGGGCCAAGCUUACCUGCAAACAACAGAUUUUCUUGUUGAGAAGAUACGACUCAUCCUGGACUCUCUUGCCCAUCCUCGGCCACCAACAGAGUAGCGGCUUCAUCUCAUCGC